UUAUUAAAGUAAAUUCUACCUAAGACUCGGGUGGCAUGACGCCUUAAUUUCCCGCCGAGGCCAGAAGAUAAUGAAGAGUUUAUGCUCCAUGUCUUUCUUGGCAUGGAGUUUUUAUUUAGGCCUU
rfam:Lactobacillus sp. wkB8, complete genome.